UGAUAGUUACAGCUACAAUAUACAUAAUAAAAUACCACACUUGAGUGAAAAUACUGCGCAGAUUACCUUUAAUACUGCACUAAGCAUAGUACGAAUCGAGUGAGAACGAUACGAGAAAAAAAACUACACAGAAGGUGACCCAUCUGGGACCUAUAUUGUAACGAUUGCACGGUUUAAUAUCAUGUAUACUAAAGUAUCUAAUUUAACGACUCACUGCGCCAUGUCGACCUACCUAUACAAACGGAAUUUUGUUCGAAAAUCCGUACACCUCGAUUCUCUUACACGUCGUCUCGCAGAAGUUCGCGCGUCUUAGCGAAGACCUCCUUGUAGACGGCGACACCAUUGCAAAAAUCAUACAUUUCGAAGCUACUAUGCUUAAUUGUUUUUGUAGAAAUAUGGCAUGAAGUCGCCGUUGGUUGAGGAACUCGUGAAUGGCAAUGGUCAGUAUCAUCUACAGACACGACGACCAGUGUGACAUAAUAAUAUUAUGAUGUUAGGUAUAUUAUAAUGUCCUGUCGACCCUAGGAAGAGGAGUUCGCCGACGACUAGGUAAACGCUCUGAUUAUAUUUCGUUUUAUGGUAUUCGUAUUAUUUAGUUAUGUUCGACACAUGUUUUCGUUUUUUAUCAGAUAACUAUAACGUUUUAGACAGCGUUUUUGAAAAUUAUAAACAUUUAAAGAAUAUUACCAUUUUUUAAAUGUUAUUUAACCAUGUAGUGUAAUAUACUAUAACUACAUAAACAUUGUUUAGUGUCCGCGAGUUAUGAAGUAUUAAAAAAAAAAAUACUUAUAGUAACUUUUAGUAUUUGCCAACUCAAUUAAAUAUUGCCACUGGCUAUUUAAAAUUGAUUUUUUAUUUAUUUAUUAUUCUUAAGAAUAUUUUGACUUGAUAAGUGAUUUAAAUUUUUUUAAUCAGUUUGCUAAACAAAGCUGUUAAAAUUAAUUGUAUUUGUUAUCUUUUAGAAUGACAACAAAGUUGAUAAAUAGUUUCUAAUUAAGAUAACCACAAUACUAUGUGUAACUAAAAAUAUAAUGUAAGUUGUUGUUUAUAAAUCAAUAUAAUAUAUAAACUUGUCAUAAUAUUUUGUCAGUUGAUAUGUUCACAAAUUUUAAAAAAUAAAACAAUAUUGAUUGUUUACUUCAAAUAAAUAUACCACAAUAUUGCCAUAUU